CCUACGGGUGGCUGCAGUGAGGAAUAUUGGUCAAUGGGCGCGAGCCUGAACCAGCCAAGUCGCGUGAAGGAAGACUGUCCUAUGGAUUGUAAACUUCUUUUGUACAGGAAUAAAGUGUUCUACGUGUAGGAUUUUGCAUGUACUGUACGAAUAAGGAUCGGCUAACUCCGUGCCAGCAGCCGCGGUAAUACGGAGGAUCCGAGCGUUAUCCGGAUUUAUUGGGUUUAAAGGGUGCGUAGGUGGACUGAUAAGUCAGUGGUGAAAGUUUGCAGCUU
rnacentral:rRNA from 1 species